rnacentral:rRNA from 1 species
AUGAGGGAUAUUGCGCAAUGGGCGAAAGCCUGACGCAGCGACGCCGCGUGGGUGAUGAAGUCUUUCGGGAUGUAAAGCCCUUUUGUCGGGGACGAGAAUGGACGGUACCCGGCGAAUAAGCCCCGGCUAACUACGUGCCAGCAGCCGCGGUAAUACGUAGGGGGCGAGCGUUGUCCGGAUUUACUGGGCGUAAAGCGCGUGUAGGCGGCUUCUUAAGUCGGGUGUGAAAGCCCGGGGCUCAACCCCGGGACGCCGCCCGAGACUGGAUCGCUUGAGGCCGGAAGAGGGGAGUGGAAUUCCUGGUGUAGCGGUGAAAUGCGUAGAGAUCAGGAGGAACACCCGUGGCGAAGGCGGCUCCCUGGUCCGGUGCUGACGCUGAGACGCGAAAGCGCGGGGAGCGAACGG